GACGAACGCUGGCGGCGUGCUUAACACAUGCAAGUCGAACGGUAAGGCCCUUCGGGGUACACGAGUGGCGAACGGGUGAGUAACACGUGGGUGAUCUACCCUGCACUUCGGGAUAAGCCUGGGAAACUGGGUCUAAUACCGGAUAGGACCACUGCCCGCAUGGGGGGUGGUGGAAAGCUUUUGCGGUGUGGGAUGGGCCCGCGGCCUAUCAGCUUGUUGGUGGGGUGAUGGCCUACCAAGGCGACGACGGGUAGCCGGCCUGAGAGGGUGACCGGCCACACUGGGACUGAGAUACGGCCCAGACUCCUACGGGAGGCAGCAGUGGGGAAUAUUGCACAAUGGGCGCAAGCCUGAUGCAGCGACGCCGCGUGAGGGAUGACGGCCUUCGGGUUGUAAACCUCUUUCAGCACCGACGAAGCGCAAGUGACGGUAGGUGCAGAAGAAGGACCGGCCAACUACGUGCCAGCCGCCGCCGUAA
rnacentral:rRNA from 1 species